rnacentral:misc_RNA from 1 species
CUAGGAGAAUUAACCCAUGUUAGUUCUGUCCACUCUAAUGCUCCAACUCCUUCAACUGUCCCUCCCCAACAAGUUAUUGAAACACCUGAGUUUGAGCAAGCAGUUAAUCAAGUGGUGGAUCAGCAGGUGGAUGAUCGGGUAGAUCAGCGAAUGGAUCAGCGAAUAGAGCUUAUGCAGGCACAUUUUCGUGAGGAAAGAGAAGCAGCAGUCCAUGCUGUCAUGAGCCGCAUGUUUGGUCUCUUUCCACAACCACCAGGAAAUGGCUUUGGUUCUUCCUCACAAUCACCCCCACAUAUUUAGAGUUUAUGCUAUGGCUUUUGAAGUGUAAAACAUGUUUUGGCUCUAUGUUAUCAUUAGCUUUCAUCUUUGGAAGAUAAUAUUACUUUUUGCAAUGUAUGUGUAUGAGUAUUUUGUUGAUAUUUGAAUGGUUGAUUUUAUAUAUAUGCAUAUUGGAAUUUGAAUGUUUUCAAAAAAAAAAAAAAAA